UAAAGGGAGCGUAGGUGGCUCUAUAAGUCAGAUGUGAAAUCCCCGGGCUUAACCUGGGAACUGCAUCUGAAACUGUAGAGCUAGAGUAUGUGAGAGGAAGGUAGAAUUCCAGGUGUAGCGGUGAAAUGCGUAGAGAUCUGGAGGAAUACCGAUGGCGAAGGCAGCCUUCUGGCAUAAUACUGACACUGAGGCUCGAAAGCGUGGGUAGCAAACAGGAUUAGAUACCCUGGUAGUCCACGCCGUAAACGAUGUCUACUAGUCGUUGGGUCCCUUGAGGACUUAGUGACGCAGCUAACGCAAUAAGUAGACCGCCUGGGGAGUACGGCCGCAAGGUUAAAACUCAAAUGAAUUGACGGGGGCCCGCACAAGCGGUGGAGCAUGUGGUUUAAUUCGAUGCAACGCGAAGAACCUUACCUGGUCUUGACAUAUCUAGAAUCCUGCAGAGAUGCGGGAGUGCCUUCGGGAAUUAGAAUACAGGUGCUGCAUGGCUGUCGUCAGCUCGUGUCGUGAGAUGUUGGGUUAAGUCCCGCAACGAGCGCAACCCUUGUCCUUAGUUACCAGCGGGUUAAGCCGGGAACUCUAAGGAUACUGCCAGUGACAAACUGGAGGAAGGCGGGGACGACGUCAAGUCAUCAUGGCCCUUACGACCAGGGCUACACACGUGCUACAAUGGUAGGUACAGAGGGCAGCUACACAGCGAUGUGAUGCGAAUCUCAAGAAGCCUAUCGUAGUCCAGAUUGGAGUCUGCAACUCGACUCCAUGAAGUAGGAAUCGCUAGUAAUCGCG
rnacentral:rRNA from 1 species